GGUCGCCUUGAACCUCAAAUUUUAGAGGGCCUCAUGAGGCCCAUAGAGGAUGGAAAAAAUUGGUCGCCUUGGGCCUCAAAUUUUUAGGCUUAUAGGGAUGGGAAAAAAAUUAAAAAAAAUAAAGUUAGGGCAAGUUUCAGAAGGCACAAUGUCUCAAUUUGCUUCGACACUCCGCAGGGCGCAGCUUCCGCUAUCACCUCAGGUGACAAGGAUCUCCCUUUGCAAGAUUUGAAAGACUAAUUGGUAAAUUUGGGUUGAACUUGAGUCUUGAACAAGCCAGGGGCCCUUAUCAUCAAUUACAGCAUCCUACGGUCCUACCAUCUUUUAGAGUGCUUUCAUCACUUCAGACUUUUGUGCUUUGAGCAACUUGGAGGAGCUUGAUUUGAGUGUUAGUGUGAAGAGGCUGAUUACAGUAAAAGUGAAUAGAUUCUCUUGAAGUUCCAACCAUGUCAACUCAGUCCAGUUAGUGAAGAGAAAAGAAGAGAUCUCGUCAGAAAGAAAUUGGUGGAAACACUCAAUUCAGAUAUCAUGGUCAGAUUGGACGACGACAAAGGCAAUGCCCCAACAAUAGGAAGGGGGUAUUACCUCUGAAACUAAUAAAGCCACUAAGUGAGCUUAGAGCGAGCAAUCGAGUCAAGCUUCCUAGCUGUGCUGGGAUUUCACCCGAAAUUUUAUUUCCAGCCAGUUGUAAGAAUGUGAGAUUUGCACAUUCUGCCCACUUGGAUGAAAGUUGACAGGAAAAUUUGUUGCUGCUAAGAUCGUAUUGAAUAUUGAGUUUAGACAUGGUAUCAGGCAACUCUCCAUUCAAUUGGUUAGUACUAAGAUUAAGACUAAGCAGAAAUGCUAAAUUCCCAAUUGUUGGAAGGAUUGGACCUGUGAGCUGAUUUAUUGAAAGGUCCAGUUGCAGCAAGUGUGUCAAGUUUCCAAUCUCAGACGGGAUGAAGCCAGAAAGCUGAUUAUUAUACAGCUUAAGGUAGAGUAACCUUGUCAAUAAGCCGAUUUCUGGUGGGAUUUUCCCAGUGAACAGAUUCUCUUGAAGUUCCAACCAUGUCAACUCAGUCCAAUUAGUGAAGAGAAAAGAAGAGAUCUCGCCAGAAAGAAAAUUGGUGGAAACACUCAAUUCAGAUAUCACGGUGAGAUUGGACAAUGACAAAGGCAAGGCCCCAGCCAAUGAAUUGUAGCUCAGAUCCAAGAUGGUGAGAUCAGUACAUAGGCCAAGCUCAGAAGUAAUUGGGCCUGUGAAAUUAUUCUUCUCUAGUAACAGAAUUUUAGCUUGGAAAGCUUCAAAAAAUUCAAUAGCAGUGGCCCAGGAAAAGAAUUUAUGCCGAGACCAAGAAUUUCAAGCUCGCACACCCAUUCAGGUAUUAUGCCAGUGAAAUUAUUUUGAGCCAACCUGAGUUGUAUCAAGUUCUUGCAACUAGAUUUGAAAUCUGGGAAUUCCAAGGUAAGUCGAUUUACAGAAAAGCUAAGAUAUGUCAACGAGGGCAUAGCUGAGAAUUUUGACCAGUCUGGAGUUUCUAACAAGUUAGAUGCAAGGUUUAAGAACUGAGGUACCUUAGCUUCGUCAACAAUCCAAUCUCCGAUGGUAUGAUGUGAUACAAGUAGUUGUCACCCAGGUCCAAGAAAGUGAGUUUGGAGAGAUUGCCAAUGGUAGGUGGAAUUGGCCCACUGAGGGUGUUGAAACUGAGGUCAAAAUGGUUGAGAUUUGGAAAAGAAGUGAAACUAAAUUGGUUAAGUGUUCCAGUGAUAUGUGCAACACAGAGGUUUAUCUCGGAUACAAUUCCAGUAGUGUCACAGACAAUGCCAGGCCAGUUGCAAAUGUUUAUGACAUUGCCAACUGACCAUGAAUCGAGGGAAGAAGAUGAAGAUAAGUUGUUCUUCCAUUAGAGAAGUGCUUCUGCUCUAGCUGAACAUGAUGUGAUCUUCAAUGGAAACAAAGAAAGAAAGCGGAUAUGAGUACGAAAAAUAUAGCACCAUCUAGAUGUCAUCCUGCCUAGUUUUGUUUGGGUUUCAUGUAACUGGUUCACUCUCUUAUAGUGGGAGAGUAGAGCGAUGAUUUGAUAUAAAAAGGCAGAGACUCGUGAGAGAGCCACAUUUGGAGUUAGAUACGGUAAAAACUUAUACCCAUUCCGUGACUUUGGCACUGGACGUUCCCAAAAUGGGUACUAUCUAGUUGAACCAAGUUAUUCCACAAGUCCGCAGGUCAAGCAAAAUACGAGUCAACUAGAAGACUGAAUUUAAUCAAUUAGGAAGAAAUCAGGGAACUUAAACAAAGCCUGCUUUCAUUUUAUUAUAUACAAUAGUAAACCUAAAUAGAUUAGGGAGAAAUCAAAGAACGGGUCGCAGUUGCAUCUACCGGAACUAAAAUUGCCCAUAAUUAACAAUUAUGAAGAAAUCAUCAACGUCUACCAAAAAGAGGUAGAACUUGAAAAUGUCAAUCAGAUUAUUUGCUCUCGUCAUAACAUUAGAGAAUUUUAAAAUGAAACCAAUAUAGAGAAUUGUGAACAAAAUUAACAUAAACUAAUGUGGAGAGAAUUAUUGUAUGAAAAAUUAACAAAAACAAAGUUUCAAUGGAUUGGCCUAUGUGAGGUAAUAGUUUGUUUAUGCUGGUUCAAGAAACAACCCAAACUUCAGAAGCCUAACACUAUUCUAUUGGCCGGCCGUUCACAGAAAAUAAAAUGCAAAGUCAAUGAAAUGAAUGUGAAUGUUAAUGAAUGCAAUCAGGGUAAUGCCCGAGCCUCGAAUACAUUGAUUCUAGAGAAACGAGCUUUCUGAGUAUGUGAAAAUUGGGGAGAGUUUUGAAAUUUUAGCCAAAUACAUUAUGCAGAAAUUUACUGCAACUGAAGUGAAAAGUUACAUGCAGUUCAGAGACUAUUCUUCAUCACUCUUCCGGUGACGUAGGAUUCUACUUCAUGUCUUCAUUAUUCAUGAUUUAGACAUUUAUCUUUAUUAUGUCAGUUUUGAGAUUAUUUUGUUAGGGGUCCAUGAUACGGAUAUAUUUUCGAGUUGUAUUAUGGAGGAUUAUUACGUUUGGGGAUUUAUCGGAUUUAUUCCGAGAUUGGUA